CAUGCAUGUGUUCUCCAUAAUGGGUACCUAGUACAUUAGGGUUGGAUUCUAGAAUUUCAAGUGUAGUGGAGAACUAUCUCUGGACUUUCCUCCUCUAGAUCUGUCUGGAGAUCUGCCAUAUGUCAUUACAUGAUUGGCUAGUCUAAUUUGGAUUAUAUCAUUGAUUUUGGACUUGACAAUGAAAGCCACUGGACGAUGUUGGGA
rnacentral:lncRNA from 1 species